GUAGAUGUUUCAGACAGGUCAAAGUCAGCAAUCACCCGCAACUCAAAUCAAAGGUAAGGUUAGGUAAGAUUUGGUAGGGGGAAUAAAAACAGAAAGAUGAACUGGAAUGAGGUAAGUGCAUCAAAAGCUUUUAGAUUCUUCUCAAAUAGCUACUUUUCUACAGUGAUAUUAAGCACUCAAUAUUUAGUAUAUGCCCAGUGUAACUAUUAAGUAAUGUUCUAGCUAGUUAGGUUACACUAAUGUUAGUUUGCUGGCAAUUUUUGCAGCUAACAGCCUAAACUCCAGUCAUGGUAGAGUUCCGCUUUCUACCUCAUUUAACAUAUCUGAUUAUACUCAUCAGACAAUUCCCAAGACAUUUAAGGGCUAAAUUUGCUAUUGGAAGAGAACACAAAUCUCUGUAGGGUCGUGUGUCCCCCCCACCCCAGGCCUGAGUUUGACACUCCUGGGCUACUCCUGGGAAUGUUGGCUAAAUCUUACUUGAUGCAUUUUAAAUUAAUGAUAAAAUUGCACCAGGCUCUCAGGAACACACUAUAACUUAAGCUGUUAGUUGCUAACUGUUGCUAGCAAGCUAACAUUAGCAUAGCUUAAAUAGCUAGGCAUAUGUAGUACUAAGUGUUAAACAUCAUUACUGAAAAUUUGGUAUUUGAGAAGAACAUAAAAGCUUUAGAGGCACUUUUUUUUUUUUCUCAACAGAUUAUCAAAUCUCUUCACUUUGUAUUUAUGGUGUGAGCAUGGCAGAAGACUGUGGUGAAAUUCUUGACCACUUUUCCCUGGGAAUACUGAAUGAGACACCUUUGACAUAAAAUCUGUAUUUCUAAUAUUUGAAUCUUUGGCAUUUGUAUGUAGCUGUUUGAAGUUUUUCAGUCUGACAUCUUACCGCUAGCAAGUUGAAAACAAAGGAAAAUAUAUCAAACACACCGUAGUUAAAAAUUAAUUUUAUGACAUGUGACAUGUCUAUAAAUCAUGCCAUAUGUGUUUUUAUGCCAUGAAUUUUGUGACAUGUCUAUAAUUCAAAUAUACAAAAUUCACACUGAAAUACUUGUCCGCUUCCAGCUUCACAUAAAUGUGGAAAGAUUAAGAUGACAUAUGAACUUGAGUUCCAGCCUCAGUAUUUGGUUCUGAAACUUAAGGGAUGACGAUGAACAGCAUCUUCAGAAUGUGAGAAGAAUGCAUUGUACAUAUCAUGGAGGAAUUACAGUUCACAAUAUAUUGUAAAAGAGUUUGGUGUCACUCCAUCUAUGCAAGAUGGAGUGAUCUACAUGGAGGUUAAGCCAAAACUUAAUAUAAAGUUCAGUCCAGUUCAGUAGUACAACCCCAAUUCUGAAAAGGUUGGGACAGUAUAGAAAAUGCUAAUAAAAACAAAGAGGAGUGAUUUUUAAAUGUAUUUUGACUUGUAUUUAAACCAAAAAUGUAUAAAGAAAAAGUAUUUGAUGUAUUACAUAGUCAACUGCAUAGUUUUUUGAAGAUAAACAUUUAUUUUGAAAUUGAUGCAUGCAACAUGUUCCAACAAAGUUGGGAAUGGGGCAAUUUAGGACUACUAGCG
ensembl:lncRNA